rnacentral:rRNA from 1 species
ACGAACGCUGGCGGCGUGCCUAACACAUGCAAGUCAAGGAGAAACUUCGACUUCGGUUGGAGAAGUAAACUGGCGGAUGGGUGAGUAACGCGUAGGCAACCUGCCCCUAUGAUUGGGAUAACCCCGCGAAAGUGAGGCUAAAACCAAAUGUGGUUUCGAUUGCAUAAGCAAAUGAAAUUAAAGCUGGGUUUUGCUAGCGCAUAGGGAUGGGCCUGCGUCCCAUUAGCUAGUUGGUAAGGUAGCGGCUUACCAAGGCGACGAUGGGUAGCUGGUCUGAGAGGACGAUCAGCCACACUGGGACUGAGAUACGGCCCAGACUCCUACGGGAGGCAGCAGUGGGGAAUAUUGCGCAAUGCCCGCAAGGGUGACGCAGCGACGCCGCGUGGGCGAAGAAGCUCUAAGGAGUGUAAAGCCCUGUCAGAAGGGAAGAAGGAUCCGGCUUCGAAAGGUGUCGGAUUUGACGGUACCCUCAGAGGAAGCUCCGGCUAACUCCGUG